CCAAUGGGAGGUUCUCUUGAUAAUUUCAUGGGGUUCUCUUCAUUAAAGUGAUUAAAAAUAAAUCAAAACAAGUAAUUUUGCAAAGAGUCGGUUCUCUUAAGGGAGUUUUGGGAAUCAAGGAGAGCCGCACACAUGGCAGAUUGUGAUUGGUUGCUUGUAUUUAACAAAAGGAAAAGAAAAACCCUUGUGUUUUCUUGUCGAAACGCCGUAGACGCCAACACGCCGGAAUCCUAUCCUAUCCUUUCUUUUGAUCCUUACCAGAGAGUUCAUGCUAGAUUCUGGGCUGAUUUCAUUGACAAAAAGAUAAAACAACUGAUGAUGUUGAGUUCAUAGAAGAUUGGGAAGAAGAAGAAGAUGAAUCACAUGUCACUUAACUAUCACGUGUCCGAGGUAAUGGAUAAAGAUAUGCACUAUGCAGAACAUAAAGAUCUUUCAAACACUUGAUCAACGAAGCCAAGAACUCUCAUCCAUUUGGGCUUUGAUGCCAUCACUAUCACCAAAGACUUAACAGUCUCUACCCAAUCUGUUGUUGCUGGAGUGUCAACUUUAACUUUGUAUAGAUAGAGAGAUUACAAUGUGUUGUUGCUGUUUCUGGAUUCUUCGGCGUAUAAAUUUGUGUUCUUUUAUGUGUUCUUUCAUACACGUUUAUGUGUUCCUUGCUAUACACUUUGCUUUAUAGAUGUGUUCUUUUAUGUUCA